UAUGGCUCAGGAUGAACGCUGGCGGCGUGCUUAACACAUGCAAGUCGAACGGACUUACUGGAAAAGAGGGCUUGCCCAAUGGAAGGUAAAGUAGUGGCGGACGGGUGAGUAACGCGUGGGCAACCUGCCUUACACAGGGGACAACAGUUGGAAACGACUGCUAAUACCGCAUAAGCCGGUAGUGCCGCAUGGCACAUCCGGAAAAGAUUGUAUCGGUGUAAGAUGGGCCCGCGUUGGAUUAGUUAGUUGGCGGGGUAACGGCCCACCAAGACGACGAUCCAUAGCCGACCUGAGAGGGUGAUCGGCCACAUUGGGACUGAGACACGGCCCAAACUCCUACGGGAGGCAGCAGUGGGGAAUAUUGCGCAAUGGGGGAAACCCUGACGCAAGCAACGCCGCGUGAGUGAAGAAGUAUUUCGGUAUGUAAAGCUCUACCAGCAGGGAAGAAGAUGACGGUACCUGCAGAAGAAGUCCCGGCUAACUACGUGCCAGCCGCUGC
rnacentral:rRNA from 1 species